rnacentral:misc_RNA from 1 species
GCCAAAUUGCAUGCUUUAUGAGAUGGAUUCCUUUCUGAUGUGUUAGGCGAGUGAUAAUCCCUACUAAAGGGAGAUCAGCUUUCUUUAAACCAAGCCUUUGCUGCAACGCCUCCUUGGCUGCUCUUUUGCCUUCAACAACAUUCUCAGAUGUGUAGGAAACCUGUAAUAACACAUGUAUUAACACAACUAAACUGGCAAAGUAACCAGAAUCUUCAAAGAAAAUAUUCAGUAUGGCUAAAUACAUAGUAAAAAACACGACAAAAAAUGAAUUUGGUUCCAAAAUGACUAUGUACAACUUGAAAAGCAAUCAUAAAGAAAGCCAAGCUAAGCAUAGAAAUUUCACCCUAAAAAGGGUAAAACUCAAGCAAAUUUGCAUAUGCAUUAAGUAACAUCAAACUGUUGAAAGUCAGAAUCAAAGACAGUCCCCCUACUCAAAUCCUCAACAUGAUAACGUUUUAAGCUCUCACUGCAAUCAGGGAAAAAAAAUUAAUGAAGAUAUCUGUGACAUACAUGAUCAUACGGUUGGCAGACCAUUCUUCCAUUUGGCUUUUUAAGCAUUGUAAAAAUUGAAAUGCUAAUUCAUGGAUACAUAACAGGGAAGAGCUAUAACUAAAGGCCUUAUAUUCAAGGACCACUUGUCAAAGCAAUUCAAUAACAAAAUUGUCAUCCACUUACAGGAAUGAACUUGUCAUUAUA